rnacentral:lncRNA from 1 species
CUGAGGCUGGCUUUGAACUUGCGAUCCUCCUGCCUCAGCCUCCCAAGCUGCUGGGAUGGCAGGUGUGCACCUGGCCUGGCCCUGGGAAUGUUAAAUGUGUGUUACCCACCUGGAGAAACGGUAAGCACCUCGAGGGCAAGAACUGUCCUCUCAGCACCAAAAUGGGCCUGACUUAGAAUAUGCCAUUGAUAGGGGAACAUGGGAAUAAGUGGUUGGAAGGACGGAUGGAAGGGUGCGUGGGUAAGUAGAUGGAUGCACAGACAGGGGGAACUAAGGGCAGAUGGAAGGGCUGAUGAAAUGAUGUGUGGGCAGAUGGACAGAGGAUGGAUGGGUAUGGAGGAUACCCACUGGGGACAAAAAGCAGAAAUGUGGAUCCUUCUGGCUUACAGCCAGCAUCACUGAGAUUCAGAGAGCCGGAAUUACUCUUGUCUCUUGCCCAAGGUCACAAGGCUGGCCUAGAGGGUCCCACCCUAACUAAAGGGAUUCAGUUCUAAGUCAGCCCAUCAGGCAAAAUCAUAGGGUCAAAAUGCCUGAAAUCUGCCCUCAGCCCUUGGCAGCAGCCUAGCAGUCUCUCCACGGCACCAGCAGAGGCCCAGGUGAACCCAGGCUGCAGGCUGCAUUCAG